rnacentral:rRNA from 1 species
ACGUACACUCCUGCGGGAGGCAGCAGUGGGGAAUAUUGGACAAUGGGCGCAAGCCUGAUCCAGCCAUGCCGCGUGAGUGAUGAAGGCCCUAGGGUUGUAAAGCUCUUUCACCGGAGAAGAUAAUGACGGUAUCCGGAGAAGAAGCCCCGGCUAACUUCGUGCCAGCAGCCGCGGUAAUACGAAGGGGGCUAGCGUUGUUCGGAAUUACUGGGCGUAAAGCGCACGUAGGCGGAUCGAUCAGUCAGGGGUGAAAUCCCAGGGCUCAACCCUGGAACUGCCUUUGAUACUGUCGAUCUGGAGUAUGGAAGAGGUGAGUGGAAUUCCGAGUGUAUAGGUGAAAUUCGUAGAUAUUCGGAGGAACACCAGUGGCGAAGGCGGCUCACUGGUCCAUUACUGACGCUGAGGUGCGAAAGCGUGGGGAGCAAACAGGAUUAGAAACCCGUGUAGUCCCAUGA